GCAGCCAAUCACCCCUGAUUCUCUCUCACACGAACAGGUCAGGCGGAGUAUGUGACAACAGCGAAGCCGCCGCCACCCCCGAAUUCGGAUAGCUCCGGCGUUCUUUCGCGCGACCGCUCGCCGGUCGGGCUCUGAAUCAGUGCUCUCUUAAUGAUCCCCCGCCGCGGUGACGUCCUCCACUCACCGCCCCUGCUCUUCUCCGAUUCUCCAUGACUCCACCGCGGCGACGCCCUUCGCGCCCCAGCUCACCGGCCUGGCUCCAAUCAGUGCUCUCCUCGAAUCCUCCGCCUCGGCAACGUCGCCACGGGUAGCGUCUUGGGAUCCGGACCACGGGGUGACGUGGGCUCCGGACGCGCGGCUGCUUUCUUGGGAUGGACCGUGCUUCAUCGCCUUGGCUACCUCGACUCCAAUGGUUAUAGUUCAAGCAAGCAAAUUAUUUUGAAUGAUAAGGAGUUGCAACCAUCAAACGUAAGCCCUGCUACUGAUAAGGUAUGAUCACUUAUAUUCUGUUUGGGACCCAACAAAGUUAAGCUGCAAUGUUAUUGAUCGUACUUUUGAAAUAUCAAUGUUGGUUACCAUUCUUGCCAAUAUGACUAUAUAUCUUUUGUCAUUGAACAAAGAAACCUUGCUCCUGAAUGAAACUAUGCAACAAUGGAAGUAAAUGCUAGUGCAGAUAAGGUUCGUUCACUUUUUUCGAACUCAGAAACAAUGUCGAAGACCAUGAGGAGAUUUCCAAAAGAAGUUUAAUGUUGAUCCACAAUAGAGUGAACUUUGGAAAUGCUGAGAGUACCUUUUUUGCGCAACCUACUUCAGUUUAUGAAAUAAGGCUCAUUCUUUUGUGAGUUCAUUGUUCUAUAUCUAGUCAUCUUAGCCCCGUGGCUGAGUUCUAAUUAAUGGCGAAAGGACAAUGCAAUGGUUCUUGGAUAUCUCUGUUUGCCUUGCUCCCAUGUAAUUUAAAAUCAACUCUAAUGAUAUCAGUAGAUGGGAUGGAGUAAUGGAGUCCCAUAUGUAGCUACAGUUACUCGCAUCCAAUCCGUAGGCCUCUUUGUGUGCAUUUGUUUUUCCCAGUCACGAUAUCAUGGUAGCGCUGAAUCCAUUUCAAUUAUAACACCAUCAAUAAGUUUCUGGGUUCUGUAAUUAAUUGUUGUUUACACAUUAGGACCAGGAAAUUGGGCACCAAUAUAACAAAACCCAUGGUUACAGGUUUACUUUACACACAUCAUGAAUUCUCAAUCAUCAUGUGUACAUUUAUAUUCAGCUUUCUUCUUCAACUAUUCCUGGUUAUUUUGCUUCUUAUUAUUAGCAUGGUGGCCAGAACAUUAUGAUCUCAAAAGGUGCUAGUGCAAGAAAUCUGGCUAAUGCGUAGCUUAGACCUGCUCAAUCUUUUUGUUCUUUAUCUCAGUAUGUUAGAGCAUUAAUUAUACUUUAUACUAAUGUUCCAGAAAAUAUCUCCUGGAUAAAGAACAAUUCAAUGCAACAAAUUUGUGCAUGCCAACUCUAUAGAUUUAUGACUAUCAGGAUUUGAAUUGCUUGCAUUGGAAAUUGUUAUCAUCUACUUCUGUUUGUGAAAUAGGUUUGCUGUAUAGUAUUUUCAAAGAGGCUGGGAGAUCCAAGCAAGAAUGGUGCUCUUGCAAAACUCCUAUAUAUGGCGACCCUCUUAAAUUUACUACAUUAUUAACAUGUUUUUUAAUUUCUGUAAUGGUACGUUGCUGAUCAGCUUUUGUUGAUGUAGAUUGAUAGGACAAAUGGUUGAUGCAUGGCCAAGAUGUUGAUUUUGAGGCGCAUACUGGUGCUACUACCAGAUAGCUCGACAUUAUGUUUUAGAAUGUCAUUCAAUGGUCAAUGUUAGAGCAGAUCAUAUCUAUAUAUUAUGUAUUCUAUAUCAUGUAGUCCUCGGAUGAUGUCUUGUAGUGUAACAAUUUUUAUUUAAUAUAUGAGGUCUUUCUUACUA